GACCUAAUGGCGAAUGGUAUCGCGUCCACCAGCUGACAAAAAACUCGGCGAAUGUGAGUGGAGGAUCCUGGUUCGACUCCAGGCUAGGGCA